rnacentral:misc_RNA from 1 species
AACCAUUCUCACCUGCGGCUAGACCUGCGGAGGGAUCAUUACAGAGAUUGAUGCACCAAGUGCAUCACCUCCAACCCCUUGCGAAAACAACUAUCAUGUGUUGCUUUGGCAGUGUUUCCACUGCCAGAGGUUUACAUAAAAUCAGCUGUUGGAUGUUGUCUGAGUAAACUAUAUGAAUUAUUUAAAACUUUUAACAACGGAUCU